rnacentral:tRNA from 1 species
GGAUAUAGCUCAGUAGAUAGAGUGCUUGCCUGUCACACGCAAGGCCCCUGGGUUCAAUUCCCAGCACCA